UACGUAGGGGGCGAGCGUUGUCCGGAUUUAUUGGGCGUAAAGAGCGUGUAGGCGGUUCGGUAAGUCUGUCGUGAAAUCCUGAGGCUCAACCUUGGACGUGCGAUGGAUACUGCCGGGCUAGAGGAUGGUAGAGGCGAGUGGAAUUCCCGGUGUAGCGGUGAAAUGCGCAGAUAUCGGGAGGAACACCAGUAGCGAAGGCGGCUCGCUGGGCCACAACUGACGCUGAGGCGCGAAAGCUAGGGGAGCAAACAGG
rnacentral:rRNA from 1 species